AAGCGAAUAGCUCAGUGGUUAGAUGACUAGUUUGCAAUGCUAAAGGGUUAUGGUUCGAGCCCCUAGUCGUUGG
rnacentral:tRNA from 1 species